AACAACAUUAAAUCAGAUUUAGACAAUUAUUUGGAGGAAAAGCUGUUCCCUAGAAAAGACGAUUUUAACAUAUUAAACUGGUGGAAGGUUCACACUCCAAGGUAUCCUAUUCUGUCCAUGAUGGCACGCAAUAUUCUAGGAAUGCCAAUGUCAAAAGCUUCACUAGAGUAUGUGUUCAACACUGGUAAUAAGGCUCUUGAACCAUAUCGCAGUUCGCUAAGAUCAGAUACCUUGCAAGCUUUGAUGUGUGCCCAGGAUUGGAUGCGUGAUGAAUUUGAAGAU
rnacentral:misc_RNA from 1 species